rnacentral:rRNA from 1 species
GCCUACGGGAGGCAGCAGUGAGGAAUAUUGGUCAAUGGGCGGGAGCCUGAACCAGCCAAGUCGCGUGAGUGACGACGGUCCUAUGGAUUGUAAACCUCUUUUGUCGGGGAACAAAGGCGCCCACGGGUGGGCGGAGGAGUGUACCCGAAGAAAAAGCAUCGGCUAACUCCGUGCCAGCAGCCGCGGUAAUACGGAGGAUGCGAGCGUUAUCCGGAUUUAUUGGGUUUAAAGGGGGCGUAGGCGGACAGUCAAGUAAGUGGUAAAAAUGCGGGGCUCAACGCCGUACAGCCGGUGAAACUGGCGGG